GAAGCAAGAAGAAGGUUGUUUA
rnacentral:snRNA from 1 species